rnacentral:rRNA from 1 species
CCGGCGCACGGGUGAGUAACGCGUACGCAACUUACCUCCAAGCGAGGGAUAGCCCUGGGAAACUGGGAUUAAUACCUCAUGUGAUUAUGAUACCGCAUGGUAAUAUAAUUAAAGUUCAGGCGCUUGGAGAUGGGCGUGCGUCCUAUUAGCUAGUUGGUUGAGGUAACGGCUCACCAAGGCGACGAUAGGUAGGAGGCGUGAGAGCGUGGCCCCCCACACGGGUACUGAGACACGGACCCG